ensembl:lncRNA
AACUUGUUGCAGGUUCCUGUGUACCUGAGGUCUUCUAAAGUUACAAUUGCUGUGAAGAUGUGAGAGGUGCAAGGAGGAGUUAGAGGAAGGAAUGGGGAGAGAAAGGGAGGGAAUGACCAUGACUGAAACCUGAAGAAUUAUUUGACUAAUAGGAAGAGGUGUUGAAAAUGAAAGAUAGGUCCACAUCACUCUGGAGCUGUAAGAUAAAUUCACCUCUGUAGUUUUCCACCAUAGCCGCCUUCCUUCUAUAUUCUUUGUUACUUCCAGGCCUAUUUUAUUGACAGCACCCUCCCUGUUAUGUCUCUUACAGCUGCCCAGUUCCCCCUGCCUCCCUUUUAUUUUAAGGAUGUAAGAGAUGAAGUUCAGCCUGCAUUCUGUUCUUCCCACUGUUCUGAAGGCACGCAGAUAACAUAACCAGAAUGAAAUAUCACACAGGGAAUGGCUCUGAAUGCAGCUAUCAGUACUUGCAGUGGUGAUGAAACUGUCAUUUUGUUAGUGUCCUAAGAAGGAUGUUCUCCAUUGCUCCUAGCUUAAUAACAACUUGAGGUUGUGAAAUGCUUUGUGGCAAGUGCAGUGAAAAUGAAAAUGUCCAAUUUGUUGCUGCAAGCUGAUCCUAUCAGAUCCAGCUCCGCUGUUAUUUGGGGUUUUUAGUCAAAUGCUCCCAUUCAUUGAAGAAUCAGUUCUGGAAAAACUGAACUUGAAACAAAUUUUUGGCUAAUCAGGCAUUUCUUGUCAAGUGAGCUAAUGAAUGAUGAAGUGGAUCUCAUAGGUUUUGAAACAGAUUCUAACACUGGCAGUGUCACAUCUAAGCAGCACUAAGUUUAGGAAGUCAACUUAAAACAUUUUUCCAAAGUGUAUCUGUUUAUACCUGGAGACCCUACAGGUCUGAUGUAAAACUGAGCACAACUUUGAGGCCUCUACUGUCUCCCAGCCCACAUUUCAGACUGGGAGAACACAGAUUGGUUUUAAAUUAACCCAGACAUGACAAGAAUACAGGAGCCAUAGGACAAGGUUUAGGCUCAGCUCUUUACUUAGAAAAAGUUAAAACAAAUUAAUAAUAAUGCACUUAAUCUUCUUGCCUACAGUAUUUCUCAGAUGCCCAAACUGGUCAGCAAGGAGUACAACCAAAGAAAAUCUGCUUGUUCACUUAAUUUUUAUUUCAGUUAUAGUUUCAAAGAGCAUUUCAAGUUAUCGUGUCU